rnacentral:rRNA from 1 species
CGAGCGCACCCUUGUCCUCAGUUACCAGCACGUUAUGGUGGGCACUCUGGGGAGACUGCCGGUGACAAACCGGAGGAAGGUGGGGACGACGUCAAGUCAUCAUGGCCCUUACGGCCAGGGCUACACACGUGCUACAAUGGUGCAUACAGACGGUUGCCAAGCCGCAAGGUGGAGCUAAUCUGAGAAAGUGCAUCGUAGUCCGGAUUGGGGUCUGCAACUCGACCCCAUGAAGUCGGAAUCGCUAGUAAUCGUGAAUCAGAAUGUCACGGUGAAUACGUUCCCGGGCCUU